GACACAUGAUAACACGUGUUUAUACACACAUUUGAUCUCACGUGUUUAUACACACACAUGAUCACACGUGUUUAUACACACACAUGAUCACACGUGUUUAUACACACACAUGAUCACACGUGUUUAUACACACACAUGAUCUCACGAGUUUAUACACACAUGAUCUCACGUGUUUAUACACAGAUCACACGUGUUUAUACACACAUUCACCUCAUUAUCCUCUUAUUGUCAGUUACAGGGGCCCCUUAAGUGCUGCUCCUGACCAUGUGGUGUACUGAGAAUACCCCAGAGCCCUCAGCAGCACCGAAGCAGCAGAAGAAAUGCUGAAGUGAAACAGCGCCACCUUGUGUGAGAGUUUCUGCUCCAAGGCCAGGCAGAAGACUGGUCCACCAUGGGAGUACUCCAGCAAAAAUGACAUAUCCAUCAUAGCACUCAGUUAAAUGGGGCCGCACAAUGACGCUGGAACCUUUGUUGAGAUUUUCAAGCUGACACGUGGGGCUGGCUGCCUGCUGUUACUACGCGGAUUUGAAGUGGGUGAUUUUGCAGAGGGUUGGCUAAAGCCCAGAACAACAUCAACAGCAUUCUGGGAUGCCUGCAGGAGGUGGCUGCUGGCCAAGCAGUGUGCUGCACUGAUACGAUCGACCUUGAGUGUGCCACCACAAUGCUCCGCUCUCGCAAAUCUGUCAUUCCUUAAUGACCCUGAUGAAGUCUCUGGAACAUUCACACUAAAGAAGAGAUGACAAAGUUGUUGAUACCAAAGAAUUGGGAGGAAGUACUACUAGAAAAAAUGUAAUUCAAUAUGUUCUUGACCUGAGAGCAAAGCUCCACACACUGGAACAUUUAUCACUGGAAAUUGGGUCAUAGUGCACAGCCAACCAUAUUGCUUUCUCACACACAAAAUGUAGAUGUAGAUGAUAUUAUUUACAGUAAUUAUUGGCAGUGGCACAUGCAGCAUCUGAAGGUUGUCCUGAGAUGGGCGGAACUCACAGCAAACCCCUUUAUUUGCAAUUGGACAGGUAGCAGUAUGGCAUUCCAUUUGGGCCACAGGCUGCUGCAUCCCCAAAUUAAUGGAAGACUGCAGCAUUUGCAUUUGACUAAAUCUCGUAACAUAUCUGUAAAUCAGCUGAUGUCAAUGCUACAUCCAUGAGUUAGCAUGCCCAAAGAGAUCCAAAUUGACAAAUUCUUGUAUGUCACGCACACCAGAAUUUACUGUCCAUAAACACGUUUGUAAGUUCAUUCAGGAUGAUGUUGUAUGAUGUGAUGUGGUAUGACGUGGGGAUGUGGUAGCUCAGUGGUUAAGGUGUUGGUUAAGGUCAUGGAUUCGAACUCCAGGUCCACCAAGCUGCCACUGCCGGGCCCCUGAGCAACGCCCUUAACCUUCAGUUGCUCAGUUGUAAGUCACUCUGGAUAAGGCUACUAAAUGCCGUAAACGUAAAUGAUAAUUGGGAUAAGUAGUUUGAAUCUCUGUUGUUUGCAGUAUGAGAGGUCCCACAAAUCUCCACAGGUUUCUCCUCAUUCAAAUUAUUGUGCAGACAAACUUUAAAUAUAUUACUUCCAUCUCCUGAAUAGUGAGAUAAGUGGAUCCUGUGGUUCUGUUGAAAGCAGUACAGUAGUUACAGAUUACUAGAGAGAGCUGGUUGCAAAGGGUUUCUCCUGUGUGUUUUUGCCUCUACCUGGUCAUGCCGUCCCCAGUGAUCACCACAUUAAGAUUCCCUUGUCUCCAAUAUCCCAUGAAAAAAACUGUUAUUUUCCACAGCAACUUCAAGGAGGUGUGUAUUUGGACUGGUAGAAGUACAGUAUCUGGGCUUACAGUACCAGAUACAGUAUCAGUAUCUGAGACUGCCAAAGUCACUUAUAAAGGACAAAUGCUUAGGUGGCUGAUAUUACCCAACCUUUCUAUUUAGUAAUUUUGGGGUACAAAACAGUACACACAUUACAAAAGGGUAUGCAUUUAAACAGCUAGAUAUGAUUGACAGGGAUCACAUUCAGGCUGGGCCAGCACUUAUUAUUUCCCAGCUCAUUAUGAUCCCAUGACAAGGCGGUUCAAGGUGGAUAAAACACUGUGGUGUUCAUCUUGCCAUGAUUGCCAUAUCAUAGACACUGUUGUGUUUCCAUAUUACUAAAAUACACCCUACAAAAGAAAGGUGAUCCCAUGACCAGUUAAAAUGUAGAGCAGCACAUGCUGGAUUAGUGAAUUUGCUCCAGGCACAUUAGUGACAGCUCUGCAAUUUGUAUUCUCCACUGUUUAAAAAAAAAGUCCAAGUAUUGCUUCUCAUCUCUAACCCAAAAUUAUUCAUAGAUGCCCUUUUAGGUCACACGGUAAGUGGAAAAAACUAUGACAUUAUAUAGCAGAUAUAGCUCUUAAACCUCCCCAAAUAAGAGAGGUGUGUUUCCUGUUGCACUGACAAUAGUACAGGCAGAGAAAGAUGAGUUGGGACCAGAGUGUCAAAACAGUUGAUUCCACUCACUGGCAGAUUCUUUUGUCUUCAAAAAUUGGUUUAUACCAAUUUGUCAUAUUUCUGUUUAGGUCUUUUAUGGCACCAGCUAAAUUUCAAAGACAGAUAGAGACAACAGAGCACCAGCUGGAUCUUUCCUCUUCACCCUUUUUACACCACAGUUUUCCAGAAGUCAGGGGUCUUACACACAGAAAUUCCCGGAUGAAUCUUCUGUGUUAUGGCACAUUAGACAUGGAAAGGAAGAUUGGUAUAGGGACAUAGUAGACAAAUGUGUUUAGUAGUGUGAAAAGAAACAUCUUGUUCUCAAUGUGUUCAAACUCAAAGUAAUGUUGGCUGAAGUCAGGAGGAAGAGGACCACAAGCAGAACAUAAUAACAGGAUGUUUAGGUGGUCGACACCUACAAAUACCUUGGUGUCCACUUCAACCAACUGCCAUGUUGGCAUGGUAGUUUAGUAGUCUAGAUUGGAAGGUCAACAAGGAGGCUGUGUAUGGAAAGGGGAUGAGCAUACAGUAAUAUAUAAAUAUUUGCAGCAAGAUGUUGGAGAUCUUCUGAAGCAUAUGAAGCAUGAGCAUUUGAAAGUGCUGUCUUCUUUGCAGCAACAUUCUGGGGACUUGGCAUAUGAGCUAGAGAAGCAAAAGUUUUCAGUAAACUGAUCACUCUCUGAACAGAUUUUAUCUGGAUGUGGAAAGGAGAUAAUCAAACACUAUGGCAAAAUGUAAACAGACAUUUGUAACGUGGUCGGAUUGUUAGAUUUGACCCGGAGAAAAACAAGGUGACUUAAAAGGGAAUAAACACUCGAG